rnacentral:rRNA from 1 species
GACGAACGCUGGCGGCGUGCUUAACACAUGCAAGUCGUGCGGAAAGGCCUCACUUGUGGGGUGCUCGAGCGGCGAACGGGUGAGUAACACGUGAGUAAUCUGCCCUUGACUUCGGGAUAGCCCACUGAAAGGUGGAUUAAUACCGGAUAGGACACAUCGUCGCAUGGUGGUGUGUGGAAAGCCCUUUGGGUGGUUGGGGAUGUGCUCGCGGCCUAUCAGCUUGACGGUGGGGUAGUGGCCUACCGUGGCUUUGACGGGUAGCCGGCCUGAGAGGGUGACCGGCCACACUGGGACUGAGACACGGCCCAGACUCCUACGGGAGGCAGCAGUGGGAAUAUUGGACAAUGGGCGGAAGCCUGAUCCAGCAACGCCGCGUGAGGGAUGACGGCCUUCGGGUUGUAAACCUCUUUCGACACCGACGAAGCUUUUGUGACGGUAGGUGUAGAAGAAGGACCGGCCAACUACGUGCCAGCCGCCGCCGUAACAC